rnacentral:rRNA from 1 species
AGAGGGUGCAAGCGUUAAUCGGGAAUCAUUGGGCGUAAAGCGCACGUAGGUGGUUAUGUAAGUUGGCUGUGAAAGCCCCGGGGCUUAACCUGGGGAAAGCCAGUCAAAACUGCAUGACUAGAGUUUAUCAGAGGAUAGUGGAAUUUCCGGUGUAGCGGUGAAAUGCGUAGAGAUCGGAAGGAACAUCAGUGGCGAAGGCGGCUAUCUGGGAUAAAACUGACACUGAGGUGCGAAAGCGUGGGUAGCAAACAGGAUUAGAUACCCUGGUAGUCCACGCUGUAAACGAUGACAACUAGCCGCUUGUGACGCAAGUCGUGAGUGGCGCAGCUAACGCGUUAAGUUGUCCGCCUGGGGAGUACGGCCGCAAGGCUA